GGGGCGGUAGCUCAGUUGGUAGAGCACCAGCUUUGCACGUUGGGGGUCAGGGGUUCGAAUCCCCUCCGCUCCACCA
rnacentral:tRNA from 1 species